rnacentral:rRNA from 1 species
GGCUGCGGUAAUUUGACCGUGCAAAGGUAGCAUAAUCAAUAGUCUUUUAAUUGGGGGCUUGAAUGAAAGGUUUGACGGAAGGGAAACUGUCUUUCUGAUUUAUAUUGAAUUUAACUUUUGUGUGAAAAGGCAUUAAUGGUUUAAAGGGACGAUAAGACCCUAUAAAACUUUAUAUAUUAUAUUAUUUAACUAAAGUGUUAUAUUAAUUGUUAAAUAGUUAAUUGUAUUUUGCUGGGGCGGCAAAAAUAUAACUGUAACUGUUUAAGAUAUGAAAUAUUUAUUAAUAAAAAAUGGUCCUUUAUUAAGGAGAUAAGAGUAAGUUACUUUAGGGAUAACAGCAUAAUUUCUUUAGAGAGUUCUUAUCGAAGAAGUUAGUUGUGACCUCGAUGUUGAAUUAAAUUUUCCUUUAGGUGUAGGAGUUUAAAAGGAAGG